GAAUCAAAUUAGGAUUUGAUCGAUCUAACCAAUUAAGGAAAAGAUAAAUUUAAAUCUAGAUUUAUACUUAUCCUUAAUUGUCAUUAUAUUAUUAGGAAUAGGAUUAUAUUCCAAUAAUAUAAUAUACGGGAGUUUUUAGAAAACCCUAGUGGUCAUCUAUCCUCUCUUCUCUCUUCCAUCUUCUAGCAACAAAGACGUCCUUUUGCAAGGGAGCUAGCACCCCGGUGAGGACAUCGAUCAAAUCAAGAACCUCGUGUGGAUACCUAUAGAGGCCGGACGCGUGUGCGGCUUCAAGAGAACCGAAUUCCACGAUCAUCAAAUUGAGGGGAAGAUCUAUCCGCGAAAAAGGUAAAGAUUCGAUCUUGUUUUUCUUCAUUAAUCUUAAAACAUGAGGGAUCCUAAUUGCGUGGUUUUUUAGAUUGGAUCUCGAGAGUUUUCAAAAAUCAAAUUUGUUCGAUUUCUUUUUCCGCUGCGUUUUUACCGUACGCAAUUUUCUAACAGUGGUAUCAGAGUCAUCCUCAUGUUUUUAAGAUUAAAAUUAUGAAUUUAGGUAUUCUAAACCGUUUUUCGCCGGUAGAACGAUUUAUAGAUCGUUUUUGGCUAAUUCGAAAAGUCCGAAUUGAUCAAACAAUUUAAUCAAUGGUUUCUUGUUUGCUAUCAAAAAAAAAAAAAACAAA
rnacentral:lncRNA from 1 species